GACGACGCUGGCGGCGUGCCUAAUACAUGCAAGUCGAGCGGGGAUUAUGCUUGAUCGCUUCGGUGAGACGGCAUAUAUCCUAGCGGCGGACGGGUGAGUAACGCGUGGGUAAUCUACCUCGUAGUUCGGGAUAACAGGCCGAAAGGCUUGCUAAUACCGGAUGAGUUCAUGCUUAUGCAUAUAGGCAUGAAGAAAGGGCUAGCCCGCUAUGAGAUGAGCCCGCGUCCCAUUAGCUUGUUGGUGGGGUAAUGGCCUACCAAGGCAACGAUGGGUAGCCGGCCUGAGAGGGUGUACGGCCACACUGGGACUGAGACACGGCCCAGACUCCUACGGGGGGCAGCAGUAGGGAAUUUUCGGCAAUGGGCGAAAGCCUGACCGAGCGACGCCGCGUGAGGGACGAAGGCCUUCGGGUUGUAAACCUCUGUCUGGGGGGGAUGAGAACGGACGGUACCCCCGGAGGAAGCCCCGGCUAACUACGUG
rnacentral:rRNA from 1 species